UUGAUUGUCCUCCACUCCACCCUCUCUCCAGCCUCCUGCCAUUUGCUGCUAUGUCCUUCCCAUCUGCAGUUGUGGAUUUGUGACCAUAGGGACGGAGGAGUAAGAGGACAAAGAAAAAAAUGGAGAGAUAAUACAAAAAAGUUUAGUGACUCUUUCUGUGAAAACGGGGUGUGGACAACAAUGGAGAUGUAGACAACUUCCAGGAAUGGAAUCCUAGUUCUACAGCUUCCUAGCUGGAUCAAGCCACUGGUGGAGUUGGAGCCCUCAUGAGUCAACACUUUCCAGAAGUCCACCAACAGUGAAGCCUUCAGCAACGAGACUUCUGGGGGACAUGCCAGUGUAACAGUAUCCAUCAUAUAUCAUCAUCAGUAUUUUCCCUACCACCCCCAAAGUACUCCUUACCUGUUUUCUAGGAGACAACUGAGUAUGACAGUCAACAGAAGACACUUUGAAGUCAGUCUGCCUUCAUGUGCAAUGAGUGCCAGCAGGAACUGGUUAUGGGAUGUGGGAGGAAAAUGCUCUGGUCUUCUCCCACAGAGAGGUACACCAGGCUGAUAACAUUAUCUCCCAUGUAGUACUGUUGUGGGAAUCGACCACAUUAAUAUGCACAAAACAUUUACAACAAUACCUGGUAGAUACCACCGUGGAAGGGCUUGGUGUUGUUAUUAGUGACUCUUAUAUAAGCUCUUCUUGUAUAAGCCAGUCUAUUAUAAACUACUGGUACUGUAUUUAAGCCAGUUUAUUCGUGACUUUAUCCCUAAUGCUUACAGCAGUGUUGGGUAUAUAAGUACUCAAUACAUACUUGUUAAACUAAUGGCUUGAUAUAUUAACACUACAUUGAUUCUGCUCCCCCUUAUGAUAAUAUUUUAUUCAUUUAAUGGAUCAUUUGUAAAAAUUGGGCUAUGUUGGUACAAGCUACAUUAUGUUUUUGGUAACUUGUCUAUUCUCUACAUAGGAUUUGGGUUGAUUAUUAUUUUGUCUUUCUUUCUUGGUGCUUCUCUGGAAUGCAGUUUUUAAAAGUCAAACCUGUUUAAUGGGCUAUUGAGAAAGUAGCAAGCCCCUAGUUCCAAGUUUGUGAUUCUGUAUCCUGGGUUCUCAGAGCACUUAAUAAAGUCAGUUUAAUAAAACAUUUAGUCUAACCAGUUUUCUACUUACAGCUUGUAUUAG